GGCCUCGUGGCCCAAUGGCAAGGCGUCUGACUACGAGAUAUAUCAAACUGUACUACAAUUUGAUAUUCUGACGAUAAUCAGGAGAUUCUGGGUUCGACCCCCAGCGAGGUCA